GUGGAGCCUGCGGCUUAAUUUGACUCAACACGGGAAAGCUGACCAGGCCCGGACACCAGAAGGAUUGACAGAUUAAGAGCUCUUUCUCGAUUUGGUGGGUGGUGGUGCAUGGCCGUUCUUAGUUGGUGGAGUGAUUUGUCUGGUUAAUUCCGGUAACGAACGAGACUCUGGCCUACUAACUAGUGGACUUUGGUUGCGGAUGAGCAGCCGAGUCCGAUUGAUUCUUCUUAGAGGGAUGAGCAGCGAGUAUAGCUGCAGGAGAUUGAGCAAUAACAGGUCUGUGAUGCCCUUAGAUGUCCUGGGCCGCACGCGCGCUACACUGAAUGGUUUAGCGAGUGCUCCUUGUCCGAAAGGAUGGGGAAAUCUUGUGAAAAGCAUUCGUGAUAGGGAUUGGCGCUUGUAAUUGUUGGCCAUGAACGAGGAAUUCCCAGUAAGCGCAAGUCAUGAGCUUGCGUUGAUUAAGUCCCUGCCCUUUGUACACACCGCCCGUCGCUACUACCGAUUGAAUGAUUUAGUGAGGCCUUUGGACUGGCUGUCUUGGAGAUGGCGUUUGGCCCUGUCACGGGGUCGGAUGCCGGCCUUGACGUGCCGGAAAGAUGUCCAAACUUGAUCAUUUAGAGGAAGUAAAAGUCGUAACAAGGUUUCC
rnacentral:rRNA from 1 species